UUGUGUUUAGCAUUCCAGUAAUGGAACACUAGCCAUAGUAAACCGUUCCAAAAACGCGUUCUAAUGGCUCUCAAGCAAGGUCCACUUGCAGUGAAAUAAACCAGAGGUUUGAAUCAUGGCUCGAUAUGAAAUGAUUGGAAAGAAUAUGGCGAUGACAUCCACAAUGCCGUAAGAAGACGAAAUUACAAACAGGAUGAAAAAUUUGUUCAAUGAAACACAGCUAUUAAGUGGCUGACCUAAUAAGUGUUAUGUAUAAGUGACUCAUCCACUGUAGCUUCUGGGACUCAACUUUAGGAUCAUCGUCAUAUGCAGCCUGGAGCUAGCCAGAAAGCAUCAUGAAAACAUGUUUUCGGGACAUUAUAAAGAAAAUAUUUAGAAGAUGAGAUUCCUGUGUUUCUGGCUUUCAUACUUUUUAGACUUCCUUUCUACUGGAAAACUUUUAACUUUGAAAACCGCAAGUAAUAUUUUUCUUCCUGAAACCUCUGCAGUGGUAGCAAUGCAUUGAAGUUUGAUUAAAAGUUACUGCUCAUUCCUGCCAUGAGAAGAUGAUAGAGAAGAUCACCACAGUGUGGCUUGCUUCUAAGGCAGCAUGGUUUCAUGCAGAGGAUCUAAACUGGGUACCAUGUGCUGGGCUGCAAAAGGGCUGUGCAGUGCCUAAAAUGUUGUGCAAAAUUUUAUAAAGCUCGUCUUUCUCUUGAACUCCAUAAUUAUGUAUGCAACUUCAUCUUCAGCAUCUUCAGUUGGAUGUCUAAUUCCAAACUGCACAUGUACAGGAGACGUUUUGACCAUUUUCCCACAUACUUGACCUAUCCACAGGCUUUUUCAUCUCUGUUUUGGCAUUUACAUAGGUAAGAAUAAAUAAAUAUAUCUCUG
rnacentral:lncRNA from 1 species